UAUGACAGAAGGCGCCAACGAAAGCUCAUUAAUUACGUAGAUGAAAGAAGGAAACUAUCAACUCCCUUUUGUGGUGUGAAAAUUCAAGUGUUGUUAAUAAAGUGUAAUUUUUCUAGGAGCGGCGAACGGAGGACAAGGUGUGACAGACAAAAUUCCAGUGUACACUUCUCAGUAUCAAAAUUCCAGUGCUGCUUCUUCUAAAUCAAAAUUCCAGUGAAUUGUUACAUGCAGGAGUUUGCUGCAAUAAGCAGAAGAAGUCAUGUGGCAGUCUUAUGGGGGACAUGGAAGGUGCCUCCUUGAAGAAUGCCUCGUGCAGCAUUCAGGCGUCCCCUGGAAACGGCGUAUUGCCGGCUGAACCCUUCCAAGUCAAGAAUACCACCACCAUGUGAUGUGUGUCUUCUUAUUACUCUUCUGGAUGGUGGGCCUCUCAUCGUGCUACAUGUUGUUCUUGAGUUUUGAAGCUCACUGUAUCUGUGGCAUUUCUGGAUCCAAGAUCAGUGUAAACUUCAUCAGUUAUCUUUCUGUGAAGACAAUUGUGCUACAUUUUUGU